rnacentral:lncRNA from 1 species
UGAGAACCGCUUAAUAUUGAGUACAACAAACAUUUUCUGCAUUUUACUGUUUACAAAGUAUAAUCAAAUACAUAAUUUCACCUGAGUCUCAUAAAUUCCACGAAGCAGAUACCAUUAUCUUUCUCACUUUAUCAGUGAGGCAGAGGCUGAAUCUUGGUACAUUAAGUGGCUUGCUGAAUGUCCAAGAUAAUACACAGUAGAGCAAGAACGCAGAUUGUCUUCAAGAAUCCACUGAGUUGGUUCUCAUUAACUGAAGUUCUACCUCAAAUGCAAUUGUGUCUCUGCAAAGUAUAAUUAACUUUUCUAUUCUCAUUUCUUGUAGUCAUCUGUAUCAUCCACUAAAGGCUAUAGCUUUGGUGUGCAGCAUAGCUAUCUGAAAAGCUUAUUAAAAUAUAAGUUCCUCUCUCCCUUCCUUUUCUCUCCCUAGAUAUUACAAUUUAGGACAUAGGAUGAGACUGAGUGUUGGGAUUUUUAACCAGCUCCAGGAGAUAAACAGCUGUUUGUUCUUGGGCCUUCUUGUGACCAAAUAUGCUUCAGCUGUUUUCAUCAUCAUUUGCUCCAAGCUCUUCUUGUACAUUUCCAUUCCCAGAUCAAUAAUCUGUACUUUCAGGGGAUGAAGGAUGCACAGGUAAUGGGGGAAAAAAUAAGAACCAAGAUACAUCAUGUACAGGUACAAGCACCCAAUGAUAAAUGUAAACAUAUUGUAUACCUAGAAUGUACCAGUAAAAGAAUUAAAAAAAUUAAUCUGUACUUUCUUCAGGAAGCUCUGGUUCAUUUUAUUGGAGAAUAGAAUAGAAACUAAUUUCUAGAUACUAAUGGUGCUAGUUGUUACUAAGUUAUAUUCCCAUGUUGUCUCUCAGCUCUAAGGACAAGAAUGUAUACAUGUAUAUACUAACCUCUGUUCUACAUAUAUGUGUAAAUAUUCCUAUCAGUAGCCAUUUCUGUAUUUAUUAAAUUAAACAUGAGUUCAUGGUGUUGGCUCCAAUUACAGCCCCUUAAAAUUGGGAGCAUUCAAGCUUCAUUUUGCUAACCUGUAAAUUCCCACUCUAACAGUGCAAAAUCUGGGCAUCCAGUUGUACAACUUGUUACUUGUUUACUUUAUUUUAAAUUUCAGUGCACAUUCAUAGUCGUGUCAUGACUGUUAGCUUGUACUGCCAUGGGACACAGCUCUGUGAACUAAAAACAGGACUGAUGCAGAGUUCUUUGUGCCUUUAGUCUUACAGAUUCCACUCUUUUCUAAUGUUACUUAGGUCAUUUCCUUUCUCCCAUUCUCUUCCUUUAGGUCCUUCCAUACAUUUGAAAUAUGAUUACAUUGUCUUGUCACAGUCUGCAUUCUUUCCAGGAAUUCCCUUACCUCCUAAAUAAUUUAUUAAAAUUUUCAUACAUCAUAAUUUGUUCCUUGUGCUUUAAUGCACUGUAGAUUGUGACAAUGUGUAAUGAC